rnacentral:rRNA from 1 species
AUUGAACGCUGGCGGCAUGCUUUACACAUGCAAGUCGAACGGCAGCACAGGGAGCUUGCUCCCGGGUGGCGAGUGGCGCACGGGUGAGUAAUACAUCGGAACGUGUCCUGUUGUGGGGGAUAACUGCUCGAAAGGGUGGCUAAUACCGCAUGAGACCUGAGGGUGAAAGCGGGGGAUCGCAAGACCUCGCGCAAUUGGAGCGGCCGAUGCCCGAUUAGCUAGUUGGUGAGGUAAAGGCUCACCAAGGCGACGAUCGGUAGCUGGUCUGAGAGGACGACCAGCCACACUGGGACUGAGACACGGCCCAGACUCCUACGGGAGGCAGCAGUGGGGAAUAUUGCACAAUGGGGGAAACCCUGAUGCAGCGACGCCGCGUGAGCGAAGAAGUAUUUCGGUAUGUAAAGCUCUAUCAGCAGGGAAGAAAAUGACGGUACCUGACUAAGAAGCCCCGGCUAACUACGUGCCAGCAGCCGCGGU